AUAUGUAUAAUAAAACGUAGGAUAAAUAAACAAAAGGCGCGUUAUUCGAUGAUUAGGAAAGCCAAUCUUUGGAAAAGUCGCGGUAAAAGAUCCGUCGUCGCGCGAUCUCUCGCGACACGAUUGGCAUAGGACGAAGGCAAGGGUGAAGAGGGUGUAAAGAGGGAGGAAGGGUGGCAGUCGGGACGAGUGCGCAAGCGCAAACGGAGGGAUUGGUCGUCGUGCCGCCGCGCCGGCCGAGCCCGUGGCCGAGCGUCAUCGGCAGUCAUCGGCGAACCGCGAUUGAACUCUCGUCGACUCCUUGAUAGGGGUAGAGAGCGAGAGAGAGAGAGAGAGAGAGAGAGAGAGAGAGAGAGAGAGAGGAACAGAGAGAGAGAAAUAGAGAGAAAGAGAGAGAGAGAGAGGGAGAACGAGAUAAAGAAAGAUAGAGAUAGAGAUAGAGAUAGAGAGAGAGAGAGAGACAGAGAGAGAGAGAGAGAGAGAGAGAGACAGAGAGACAGAGAAAUAGACAGAAAUAAAAAAAAGAAAAAUAGAGACAUAUAGAAUUAUUAGAUUUAGUAGAGAGCAUAGUUGUUGUUCUUUUUUUUUUUUUUUUUCCUUUUUCCUUUGCACGUUUCAGUAAAAUACGAACGAAAACACAAAGAAAAAGAAAAAAAGAAAAUGAAUCGUUUUCUUCGACGAAAUUUUAAGUAAGCACUACGUCGAGUAAAUAUAAUUUGUAUUGUUACGUUUGAUCGUAUCGGGGACAAGGUAGAAGAAAAUCGAAGAGUCGUCGUUUAUAGUAUCGCGCGAAUCGUUUUCUCUCGUGUGUCUCGUGCCGAGACUUCUCGCGUAGGUGUGGUGUGUGAAAAAGGAUUUUCUGUGACGAAGAACGAGUACCAACGUCGACUAAAGCAACUACUACGAUAUAUUACCUUUGCUGUUACACGAGGACGAGGACGAGGACGACGACGAGAACAAGGACGAGGACGACGACGUCAACGUCGACGAUUACGAUUACGACUACGACUACGACUACGACGAGGAAGACGACGACGUUGCUGUUACUGCUGCUGCUGUUGCUGUUACUAUUGCUGUUGCUGUUGCUGAUGGUGUUACUUCUAAUAUAGGAACGUGCACCAAGAGACGUCGUUGUACUAGGAAGGAAUUGGACGUUGGCCUUGCAUCCGGAGAUUGAUGAGCGUGUAAAGGAGGACACGGAGUAUAUUGGCAAAACGCGUCGCGCGCACCACUCUCGACGAAUGGGAAGGAUCCAAUGAGAGAUGGAGCCAUCGCCGUAAGAAUUCAAAGUCAGGAUAAAUAUGUUCUUCUGGAUGGCCGAAUAACCAUUGGAUAAACACAACGAAGAUGAAGCGGCCAUUGGUGCUGACUUGCUUUCUGCUGCUCCACUCCAGUAUCCUGGGUGCACCACGGACAGGCUGCAAAUUUCCAGAGGAGUGGAACGGACGGUGGUUUCAAUCGGGCAAUCCGGGCCUCGUAACCGUCAACGGAUCUAUCAUAUCCAACAAGGGUCAUUGCAUCGAGGUCAAAGACGACGACAAGUUCCUCUUAUACGACACGAAAGAGGGUUGCUAUAGGUGUAUGGUCAUGCACGAGAAACAUCCAAACGUAUUGCAGUACAAAGAAACUUAUUGUACGAUCGAAUCGCCGGAACCAAGUCUCGAGAUUAUUUGCAGUUACCUAACAAGCGAUGCCAUUUUGAUCUCCCUAUUUCGAACGGGAGCAGCACCCUUACCCUGUCCUAUAAAGGGACCUUUGGAGUUCACUUACAGUCAGGGAGACGGCGAAUGUAAUUGGCCACUCUCCCGUGCCGAAGUUUGCACGCAAGAGUCCCGUUUGCUUUUGCGUUAUCAGGCUUGCGCCAAUGUCCGUUCCUCCGAAAGCGUAGACGUCCAAUUAGAAUGUUUGGCGACCUGGAGAGAGGGCAGUACGAAUUACAUGGUAGCACGUUUGUACGGUGAUCGUAAGACGAACGACGAGGAAAGCUACAGGUGUUUUAUAUACACCAGAGGCUCGAACAACACGUGGCACAUGGCACAAAGCGGAGACGCCACUUGUACCGGCCUUCUUAGCAUCACGGAGGCUGCAAAGACGUUCAAAAUGAAACAGAAAUAUAUGACGGAACGGUGCGCUUACCCUUCAUGGGUUGUGGCACCGAAGUCAUGGGUGGCGUUGGAUCGAAUGGCUUCACGUCUCUUAGCCUCGACAUACAACCUGACGAUUCUCGAUCGAAACGAGACUCGAUUAGCCUGUCAUGCGACGGUACCAAUCGAGGAUCAUCAUCAUCAUUACUCAUCGGCGACGCAUACUUACGAUCAAAUGAUGUUUGUCGCCAAAGCUACACGUGACUGCAAAAACGGUUACGUUUGCAUCAUGUUUCAUAAAAGGGACGAACACGUGAUAGAGAUGCAACUAUCAAAAUGGAGCCAGCAGCCGGACGACGUGUGCAACUCGAGUACAUUCAACUCCCAUUCGACACCGUUCACGACGUUCAUUACAUCGGAUCCAAUGACAAGACAAUGCCCGUAUCUUGGUCAUUACGAAAUCGUUUCCGUGAUGUACUGGCAUAGCGCCGACAAUGUCGAGGAUACUGUAGGAGUGGACGGUGAGGUAAGCAUAGCCAACGUCGUCGAAGUAAAGGACGUUAGAGUGACGUCGACGCCGUUCCCAAGGCGAUGCCAUCACGAGAGAGUUCGUUGGUUGGAUAUAGGAUGCAGGACGCCCGAUCGAAUGGAGUUUGCGACCUCCUGCAGCGACGAAGCACUAUCCGUUUGAAAAUUUCAUCCACCUUUUCUACUUUUCAAUUACGACGAGUUUUCCCGUCCAUGAAAACGUCAGCUAUCCUAUACUACCUACCCUUCGACCGUUCAACAAAUAUCGGCUUUGGCGAAAGUUGUUCUUCGCACAGCUUCUCCUUACCCUCGAAUAAAAUCGAAUGUGUGGAUCCUAAACUCGAUGGGUACCCAUGAAGAGAGAACUCUAGGUGCACAUUUCUAUCGAUCUAAGUUUCUUACGGUUCUCGAGAUGAAAAUAGAAGAAGAAGAAGAAGAAGAAGAAGAAGAAGGAAGAGGAGGAGAAGGAGAAGGAGAAGGAAAAGGAGAAGAAGAAGAGAAAUGGGAGAGAGGGAGAGAGAGAGAGAGAGAGAGAGAGAGAAAUAAGGUGAACCGCAUUAUUAGUUUCUUGAACGAUGCUGGAUACCGAUUUUCUACUUACACAAAGCUAAAAGAGAGUGCUAUACCGAUAGAAAGAGAAGGAUAAAAUAAGAGAAAAGUAUUUGUGUCAUGGAACCUGGAUCGAGAACGACACGGCUUACUUGGUGGCGAGUACCGACGUCGGCCGUUAUUGCCUCGUUUACAGUGCAUCCGCCGCUACGACCGGAGAUAGAGAACUUUCUGUGACGGGU